UCCGCUGCCCUCGCCCGGGCUGACUCGCGGCAGUCCCCGAAACUGGGGUCAUUGUGAGAUUUGGCGCUAGGCCAGGGGUCAGAGGAGAGGGAAAAUGCAAACAACCCAAAUGGCCAUCAAAUGAUGAGUGGAGGAAUAAACGUGCUAUACCUGUACCAUGGACUAUUACUCAGCAAUAAAAAGAAUGGAGUAUUUGGAACUAGAUAGAGAUGCGGUUAUAUAAUAUUGUGAAUGUAAUAAAUGCCAUUAAAUAUU